rnacentral:tRNA from 1 species
GAGGGUGUAGCUCAAGUGGCAGAGCACUUGCUUAGCGUGCAUGAGGUCCUGGGUUCAAUCCCCAGUACUGCCC